GUUUGGUCAAGCUACUAAGGGCGUAUGGGGGAUGCCUUGGCGCCAGAAGGCGAUGAAGGGCGUGGUAAGCUGCGAUAAGCUCCGGUGAGGUGCACACAACCAUAGAUCCGGAGAUUCCCGAAUGGGGCAACCCAUCCCGAGUAAUGUCGGGAUAUCGUUUCGAUGUAUUGUCGAGACGAGGCGAACGCGGGGAACUGAAACAUCUCAGUACCUGCAGGAAAAGAAAGCGAACGUGAUUCCCUGAGUAGCGGCGAGCGAAACGGGAAGACUGCCCAAACCGGACCGUACGUUAAAGCUCGCGCGCGUUGUGCGGUCGGGGUAGUGGGUCUUGCUUGGACUCUAGCGCGAACGGGGUCGAGGAGUUACAAAGCUAUGCCCUAGUCGAAUAGUCUGGAAAGACUAACCAUAGAUGGUGAUAGUCCAGUAGGCGAAAGGGUGAUAGCCUCCUUGGAGCGAAUACCCAAGUACCACGGGACACGGGAAAUCCUGUGGGAAUCCGGCCCGACCACGGGCUAAGGCUAAAUACUCUCUGGCGACCGAUAGUGAACCAGUACCGUGAGGGAAAGGUGAAAAGAACCCCUGGCGGGGAGUGAAACAGAACCUGAAACCAUGCGCCUACAAUCAGUGGGAGCUAUCCUUGCCGUGAUCUUCGGAUCGGGCAAGGGGUGACCGCGUGCCUUUUGCAUAAUGAGCCGGCGAGUUACUUCUACGUAGCGAGGUUAAUCCCUUCUGGGGAGGAGCCGUAGCGAAAGCGAGUCCUAACCGGGCGACUUAGUUGCGUGGAGUAGACCCGAAACCGAGUGAUCUACCCAUGGCCAGGGUGAAACGCGUGUAACAGCGCGCGGAAGCCCGAACCGGUGAGUGUUGAAAAACUCUCGGAUGAGCUGUGGGUCGGAGUGAAAGGCUAAUCAAACUCGGAGAUAGCUGGUUCUCCCCGAAAUAGCUUUGGGGCUAGCCUUGGAAGUUUAGUGGCGGAGGUAGAGCACUGACUGGGUAAGGGGUCUAUGAGACUACCGACCCCAUUCAAACUCCGAAUGCCGUCACUUGAGAUUCCAGGAGUCAGGCCACGAGGGAUAAGCUCCGUGGCCAAAAGGGAAACAACCCAGACCGUCAGCUAAGGUCCCUAAGAACAGGCUAAGUGACAAAGGAUGUGGGAUUGCCCAGACAACCAGGAUGUUGGCUUAGAAGCAGCCAUCAUUGAAAGAGUGCGUAACAGCUCACUGGUCAAGUGGUCCCGCGCCGAAAAUAAUCGGGACUCAAGUCUGUCACCGAAGCUACGGAACGGUGCGAUGACUUGUCAUCACGCUGUUGGUAGGGGAGCGUUCCAUCUGAGGUUGAAGGUUCGUCGCGAGGCGGGCUGGACUGGAUGGAAGUGAGAAUGCCGGCAUGAGUAGCGACAAAAUAGGCGAGAAACCUAUUCACCGAAAGCCUAAGGUUUCCUGAGGAAGGCUAAUCCGCUCAGGGUCAGUCGGCCCCUAAGCCGAGGCCGAGAGGCGUAGGCGAUGGGAAACAGGUCAACAUUCCUGUACCACCUGAGAUGCGCUACCAGCUAUGGGGUGACGCAGAAGGGGUGGCCAGCUCCGUGCUGGAAUACGGAGUCCAAGCCCGUAGGAGGUCCUGGCAGGCAAAUCCGCCGGGGCGCUAACUCCGAGAGGCGAUGGGGAGCCCGUUAGGGCACAAACUGGUCGUUACCAGACUGCCAAGAAAAACCUCUAUGCGAGUAUCUUGGGUGACCGUACCGUAAACCGACACAGGUAGGCGAGGAGAGAAUCCUCAGGUGCUCGAGAGAACCCUCGUUAAGGAACUCGGCAAAAUGACCCCGUAACUUCGGAAGAAGGGGUGCCCUGCUUGGUGUAAGCUCUUGCAGCUGAAGCUCGGCGGGGCCGCAGAGAAUCGGCCUGGGCGACUGUUUACUAAAAACACAGGUCUCUGCUAAGUCGCAAGACGAGGUAUAGGGACUGACACCUGCCCGGUGCCGGAAGGUUAAGGGAAUGAGUUAGGUGAGUGGCAACACGAACCGAAGCUUUGAACCGAAGCCCCGGUAAACGGCGGCCGUAACUAUAACGGUCCUAAGGUAGCGAAAUUCCUUGUCGGGUAAGUUCCGACCUGCACGAAUGGUGCAACGACUUGGGCACUGUCUCAACGAGGGACUCGGCGAAAUUGUAGUGGUGGUGAAGAUGCCGCCUACCCGCGACUGGACAGAAAGACCCCGUGAACCUUUACUGCAACUUGAUACUGGAUUUUGGCAUAGCAUGUGUAGGAUAGGUGGGAGACAGCGAAGUUCCGACGCCAGUCGGGAUGGAGUCGCCCUUGGAAUACCACCCUUGUUGUGUUGAGGUUCUAACCACUGUCCGUGAAUCCGGGCAUGGGACAAUGUCAGGUGGGCAGUUUGACUGGGGCGGUCGCCUCCCAAAAGGUAACGGAGGCGCCCAAAGGUUCCCUCAGCGCGGCCGGUAAUCGCGCAUCGAGUGUAAAGGCAGAAGGGAGCUUGACUGCGAGGCCAACAAGCCGAGCAGGUGGGAAACCAGGGCUUAGUGAUCCGGCGGUUCUGUGUGGAAAGGCCGUCGCUCAACGGAUAAAAGGUACUCCGGGGAUAACAGGCUAAUCGGUCCCAAGAGUUCACAUCGACGGACCGGUUUGGCACCUCGAUGUCGGCUCAUCGCAUCCUGGGGCUGGAGGAGGUCCCAAGGGUUGGUCUGUUCGCCCAUUAAAGCGGUACGUGAGCUGGGUUUAGAACGUCGUGAGACAGUUCGGUCCCUAUCCAUCGCGGGCGCAGGAUAUUUGAGGGGAGCUGUCCUUAGUACGAGAGGACCGGGACGGACGGACCUCUGGUGUACCAGUUGUGGCGCCAGCUGCAUCGCUGGGUAGCUAUGUCCGGAAGGGAUAACCGCUGAAAGCAUCUAAGUGGGAAGCCCACCCCAAGAUAAGAUAUCCCUCCCGAGCAAUCGGGACUGAAGGCUCCUCGUAGAUUACGAGGUUGAUAGGCCGGAGGUGUAAGUCCUGCAAGGGAUUGAGCCGACCGGUACUAAUAAGCCGUGAGGCUUGACCAAACA
rnacentral:rRNA from 1 species